rnacentral:rRNA from 1 species
GACGAACGCUGGCGGCGUGCUUAACACAUGCAAGUCGAACGGAAAGGCCCUGCUUUUGUGGGGUGCUCGAGUGGCGAACGGGUGAGUAACACGUGAGUAACCUGCCCUUGACUUUGGGAUAACUUCAGGAAACUGGGCCUAAUACCGGAUAGGAUAUCCUGCUGCAUGGUGGGGGUUGGAAAGUUUCGGCGGUUGGGGAUGGACUGGCGGCUUAUCGGCUUGUUGGUUGGGUAGGGGCUUACCAAGGAUUUGACGGGUAGGCGGCAUGAGAGGGUGACCGGCGACAUUGGGACUGAGAGACGGCCCAGACUCCUACGGGAGGCAGCAGUGGGGAAUAUGGCACAAUGGGCGGAAGCCUGAUGCAGCAACGCCGCGUGCGGGAUGACGGCCUGCGGGUUGUAAACCGCUUUCGCCUGUGACGAAGCGUGAGUGACGGUAAUGGGUAAAGAAGCACCGGCUAACUACGUG